GACGGCCAGAGAUGGAGAGACUGGCAGAGCCAGGAACACCGGACACAUAGACGCACACGCACAGACCACAAGUACACAGAAGCGCACGCUGAGGGCCAGGAACAGGGCUCCAGCCCAGGCCACACCAGGGAGCUGUCCUGUCCAGGAACAAGGACCAGGGGCAGAAGUUCCCCAGAAAGACAUCUGGGUCCCUGAGAGACGGGGCCUUCUGAUGAGCAAAGGGCCAGAAUGUCUGGAAGGGUGAAUGCCCUAACCCUGGGCAGCAGAGAGGACCACGCCCAGAGGAUGCUGCGGUGGAAACCUGAGCAGGUACCACGUCCACCAGGCACAGGAAGCAGCUCCCUGUGGAGUGGGGGACACGGCCACUGUGGCACCAAGGCCCCUGAUGGGCAGAGCAGAAACCUGAAGGGGCCCGUCCACGUCUGCCUCCCCCACGGCCACACACAGUUCUGCCCCUUCCUUGCCAAGUCUCCUUCCCACCCCCCUUCCCCCUGCAGCUUUGUGCCAGCCAGACCGAGCUUGUGACCUCAGUCUACCUGCUCCGACUUGCUGCUGGCCAGGCAUUCCCUCUCUCUCCACCUGUCUUGUUUCUCUAGCCCUCUCCCCGGGUGCAUUCUCCCUCACCUUGGCUUAAGUCCUUUCUGCCUCCACCUUGUCAUCUCACUCUCCCUCGCCUCUCAAUGUAUCCUUGUGACCCUCACACAGGGCAGUGUGUGGGAAGCCGCCUAUUGUCUUCUCUAGCAGAGAGUGUAGACAAGGAGCCCAGAAUGCUGGUGACCCUCGAGCCCUGGCAAAGGUCAGAACUAUGCACCCACAAUGGAAGCUGAAGCAAUUUCCCCACCAGAUAGUCACGUAAAUCCUUACUGAUAAGAUAGUCUGUCUGUUACUGGAACUUGCCUGUCUAAGGGCUAUGGAUGGAUCCCAAACUGAAUAAAAGGAUGGCGAGGCCUGCGCACAAGCGGAGUCCAUCCUCUUGGGAUGGGCUCUCAC